rnacentral:pre_miRNA from 1 species
GGUUGUUGUUGUUGGUGGUGUUGCUGGUGGCAUUGGUGGUGGAAGAGGUAUUAUUAGAAGUGAUGUUAUUGAAAGGAGGAGGUAAAGCCUCCACGUCCGGAACCGUGAACAUAUCUUCAUCGCUCUCUUCUGGAACAUUAACAUCAUCACCAUCAUCACCAUCACCAUCAUCAUCAUCAUCA